rnacentral:rRNA from 1 species
AGCGAACGCUGGCGGCAGGCCUAACACAUGCAAGUCGAACGAAGUCUUCGGACUUAGUGGCGGACGGGUGAGUAACACGUGGGAACGUGCCUCUAGGUUCGGAAUAACUCAGGGAAACUUGUGCUAAUACCGAAUGUGCCCUUCGGGGGAAAGAUUUAUCGCCUUUAGAGCGGCCCGCGUCUGAUUAGCUAGUUGGUGAGGUAAAGGCUCACCAAGGCGACGAUCAGUAGCUGGUCUGAGAGGAUGAUCAGCCACAUUGGGACUGAGACAAGGACCAAACUCCUACGGGAGGCAGCAGUGGGGAAUCUUGCGCAAUGGGCGAAAGCCUGACGCAGCCAUGCCGCGUGAAUGAUGAAGGUCUUAGGAUUGUAAAAUUCUUUCACCGGGGACGAUAAUGACGGUACCCGGAGAAGAAGCCCCGGCUAACUUCGUGCCAGCCGCCGCAGUAACAC